rnacentral:lncRNA from 1 species
UUCUAUUUGUCUUUUAUUGAAGAAAACAUUUAAAAACAUAAAUUUGGCUGUAUCUGAGAAAUUUUGGAAUAUUGCCUCAUUGUCAUUCUUUUUAGUGAAAUUAUAGAUUGAUAGAGGUGAUGUAGUAUAAUGAAUCAUAGAUCUGACCUUAAAGCCAAAAGGAACUGGGUUCAAGUCCUGUAUUUGAUACCUCCUAGUUGUAUGACUCUAUGUAAGUCCCUUAACUUCCUCACAUUCCCAGACAAUUCUCUUAGGUAAUGUUACAAAAUAGCUGCACAUUUAUAUUGGUGGAAAAGUUGGUGAAAAAGUUUCCCCUCUAGAAGUUCCGUACUAGAAGGAAGUCACAGGUUCUGAUCAAUAUGCACAUAAACAGAUGUGUGUAUAUAGUUCUAUGAUGUCAUAGGUGUGAAUAAUUCCUCCACAAUCAAAGCAUAAUCACUCACCACCUCAGAGAGUAAUCUUCAUGGAUUGCUAUGCCUGAAAACAAUUCCAUAGUUGGUGGCCAACCUUUUGAUGAUACUUUCCAAGGCAUGAUGUAAGGAGCACAAUGCUAUUUGCAAACCGGAGCAUCUGGAAGUCCUCACAACCUGUUAGAAAUUCUUCUGGGACUGAGAGUCUGUACAGGAUCCCAUCCAUGACAGCAGAGACUACGUGACCACCAAAAUGUAUGUGAAAAUAACUCUAAAAGGCAGCAUAACUCAAAUGCAAUGGUCAAUAGUAGUUCCAGAGGACAAAAGGCUAGAGCUAGGCAGGAAAUGGCACAGCAGAUGUACAUUGAACCUGUACAACCAUAGAUAGAAGUCCUGCUACAUGUUCUUUCUCUGCCCUUGGGACCAGCACAACAGAAGAUGACAUAUACUUCAAUGGAAGGUUACACUUGUUCAGAAUUAAUGGGAGAUAGAAACAAAAGAUGUUCAUAAAUACAACAUUCAAAAGAUAAAAUUCAGAUGGAGACAAGAUGCAAAUAUAUUACAAGUAAAAUAAUAAUACAAUAGUAGGUGAGAUGGCA